rnacentral:rRNA from 1 species
UACUACCGAGAGACCGAUAGCGAACCAGUACCGUGAGGGAAAGGUGAAAAGGACCCCGGAAGGGGAGUGAAAGAGACCCUGAAACCAUGCGCCUACAAGCGGUCGGAGCUCCGUUAGUGGAGUGACGGCGUGCCUUUUGCAUAAUGAGCCUGCGAGUUGCGGUCGCCGGCGAGGCUAAGUCACGCAGUGACGGAGCCGGAGCGAAAGCGAGUCCGAAGAGGGCGCGGAGUCGGCGGCUGCAGACGCGAAACCGGGUGAUCUACGCAUGGGCAGGCUGAAGGCUGGGUAACACCAGCUGGAGGGCCGAACCGGUAAGCGUUGAAAAGCUUUCGGAUGACCUGUGCGUAGGAGUGAAAGGCCAAUCAAACCCGGAGAUAGCUCGUACUCCCCGAAAUGCAUUUAGGUGCAGCCCCGGGACAGUACCGCGGAGGUAGAGCGACCGAUAGGAUGCGAGGGCUUCGCCGCCUGUCAAGUCCUGACGAACUCCGAAUGCCGCGGCACGGUUCCCGGGAGUGAGGGCGCGGGUGCUAAGGUCCGCGUCCGAGAGAGGAACAACUCAGACCACCGUCUAAGGCCCCCAAAUCCGGGCCGAGUUGAAGCCAAUAACGAGGUGGGACCGCACAGACAGUUAGGAUGUUGGCUUGGAAGCAGCCAUUCAUUCAAAGAGUGCGUAACAGCUCACUAAUCGAGCGGUCCCGCGUGGAUAAUAAUCGGGCAUAAGUCCGGUGCCGAAGACGUGGAAUCCAUCCUUGAGAUGGAUUGGUAGGGGAGCAUUCCGCCGCCGGCGAAGGCGGGCCGCGAGGCCUGCUGGAGGCGGCGGAAAAGCAAAUGCAGGCAUAAGUAACGACAAAGGGGGCGGGAAACCCCCUCGCCGGAAGACCAAGGGUUCCUGAUCAACGCUAAUCGGAUCAGGGUAAGCCGGGACCUAAGCGGAAGCCGCGAGGCGUACGCGAUGGACAAACGGUGAAGAUUCCGUUGCCCCCGGCCUGUUAGCCCCGUCGAUGACGGAGGAGCGAAAGACGCGCGCGCUGACGGAACAGCGCGUUGAAGGGAGGUAGCCGCAAGGCGAGACCCGACAGUACGCGGAGGCUUCGGCCGAAGCGACAGCCGUACCGUAGCAUACUCCCGAGAAAAGUCGACGCGAGGCGUUCGAGCAGGCCGGGGCCCGUACCGCAAACCGACACAGGUGGCCGGGUAGAGCAUACCGAGGCGCUCGAGAGAUUCACGGUCAAGGAACUAGGCAAACUGGCCCCGUAACCUCGGGAUAAGGGGCCCUCCCCCCUAUACAAGGGGAGGCGCAGAGAAUAGGUCCAGGCAACUGUUUAGCAAAAACACAGGGCUGUGCGAAGCCGCAAGGCGCGGUAUACAGCCUGACACCUGCCCGGUGCCGGAAGGUUAAGCGGAGCUGUCAUCGCAAGAGAAGCAGUGAAGUGAAGCCCCGGUAAACGGCGGCCGUAACUAUAACGGUCCUAAGGUAGCGAAAUUCCUUGUCGGGUAAGUUCCGACCUGCACGAAUGGUGUAAUGAUCCGGACACUGUCUCAACCGUGAGCUCGGUGAAAUUGUAGUAUCGGUGAAGAUGCCGAUUACCCGCAACGGGACGAAAAGACCCCGUGAACCUUUACUGCAGCUUAGCAUUGGGGCCGGGUGUGCGAUGUGUAGGAUAGUCCGGAGGCAGCGAGGCGGGGACGCCAGUUCCCGCGGAGCCGACGUUGAAAUACGGGCCUUCGCACAUUUGGCUUCUAACACGCUUUGAGCGUGGACAUUGCUUGGCGGGUAGUUUGACUGGGGUGGUCGCCUCCAAAAGCGUAACGGAGGCUCCUAAAGGUGCCCUCAGGCCGAUUGGCAACCGGCCGCAGAGUGCAAUGGCAUAAGGGCGCUUGACUGCGAGACGUACAAGUCGAACAGGAAGGAAACUUGAGCAUAGUGAUCCGGCGGUUCCGCAUGGAAGGGCCGUCGCUCAAAGGAUAAAAGGUACUCCGGGGAUAACAGGCUGAUCCCUCCCAAGAGC